rnacentral:tRNA from 1 species
GCCGGAGUGGCGAAAUUGGUAGACGCGCUGGAUUCAAAAUCCAGUUCUGGCAACAGAGUGUCGGUUCGAGUCCGACCUCCGGCACCA